rnacentral:rRNA from 4 species
GGGUUGUGAGGUUAAGCGACUAAGCGUACACGGUGGAUGCCCUGGCAGUCAGAGGCGAUGAAGGGCGUGCUAAUCUGCGAUAAGCGCCGGUAAGGUGAUAUGAACCGUUAUAACCGGCGAUACCCGAAUGGGGAAACCCAGUGUGACUCGUCACACUAUCAUUAACUGAAUCCAUAGGUUAAUGAGGCGAACCGGGGGAACUGAAACAUCUAAGUACCCCGAGGAAAAGAAAUCAACCGAGAUUCCCCCAGUAGCGGCGAGCGAACGGGGAGGAGCCCAGAGCCUGAAUCAGCAUGUGUGUUAGUGGAAGCGUCUGGAAAGGCGCGCGAUACAGGGUGACAGCCCCGUACACAAAAGCGCAUGUGCUGUGAGCUCGAUGAGUAGGGCGGGACACGUGGUAUCCUGUCUGAAUAUGGGGGGACCAUCCUCCAAGGCUAAAUACUCCUGACUGACCGAUAGUGAACCAGUACCGUGAGGGAAAGGCGAAAAGAACCCCGGCGAGGGGAGUGAAAAAGAACCUGAAACCGUGUACGUACAAGCAGUGGGAGCACAGGUUUACCUGUGUGACUGCGUACCUUUUGUAUAAUGGGUCAGCGACUUAUAUUCUGUAGCAAGGUUAACCGAAUAGGGGAGCCGGAGGGAAACCGAGUCUUAAUUGGGCGUUAAGUUGCAGGGUAUAGACCCGAAACCCGGUGAUCUAGCCAUGGGCAGGUUGAAGGUUGGGUAACACUAACUGGAGGACCGAACCGACUAAUGUUGAAAAAUUAGCGGAUGACCUGUGGCUGGGGGUGAAAGGCCAAUCAAACCGGGAGAUAGCUGGUUCUCCCCGAAAGCUAUUUAGGUAGCGCCUCGUGAAUUCAUCUCCGGGGGUAGAGCACUGUUUCGGCUAGGGGGCCAUCCCGGCUUACCAACCCGAUGCAAACUGCGAAUACCGGAGAAUGUUAUCACGGGAGACACACGGCGGGUGCUAACGUCCGUCGUGAAGAGGGAAACAACCCAGACCGCCAGCUAAGGUCCCAAAGUCAUGGUUAAGUGGGAAACGAUGUGGGAAGGCCCAGACAGCCAGGAUGUUGGCUUAGAAGCAGCCAUCAUUUAAAGAAAGCGUAAUAGCUCACUGGUCGAGUCGGCCUGCGCGGAAGAUGUAACGGGGCUAAACCAUGCACCGAAGCUGCGGCAGCGANNGUUGGGUAGGGGAGCGUUCUGUAAGCCUGUGAAGGUGGCCUGUGAGGGUUGCUGGAGGUAUCAGAAGUGCGAAUGCUGACAUAAGUAACGAUAAAGCGGGUGAAAAGCCCGCUCGCCGGAAGACCAAGGGUUCCUGUCCAACGUUAAUCGGGGCAGGGUGAGUCGACCCCUAAGGCGAGGCCGAAAGGCGUAGUCGAUGGGAAACAGGUUAAUAUUCCUGUACUUGGUGUUACUGCGAAGGGGGGACGGAGAAGGCUAUGUUGGCCGGGCGACGGUUGUCCCGGUUUAAGCGUGUAGGUGUGUGUUCCAGGUAAAUCCGGUUCACUUUAACACUGAGGCGUGAUGACGAGGCACUACGGUGCUGAAGCAACAAAUGCCCUGCUUCCAGGAAAAGCCUCUAAGCAUCAGGUAACAUCAAAUCGUACCCCAAACCGACACAGGUGGUCAGGUAGAGAAUACCAAGGCGCUUGAGAGAACUCGGGUGAAGGAACUAGGCAAAAUGGUGCCGUAACUUCGGGAGAAGGCACGCUGACACGUAGGUGAAGUGAUUUACUCAUGGAGCUGAAGUCAGUCGAAGAUACCAGCUGGCUGCAACUGUUUAUUAAAAACACAGCACUGUGCAAACACGAAAGUGGACGUAUACGGUGUGACGCCUGCCCGGUGCCGGAAGGUUAAUUGAUGGGGUCAGCGCAAGCGAAGCUCCUGAUCGAAGCCCCGGUAAACGGCGGCCGUAACUAUAACGGUCCUAAGGUAGCGAAAUUCCUUGUCGGGUAAGUUCCGACCUGCACGAAUGGCGUAAUGAUGGCCAGGCUGUCUCCACCCGAGACUCAGUGAAAUUGAACUCGCUGUGAAGAUGCAGUGUACCCGCGGCAAGACGGAAAGACCCCGUGAACCUUUACUAUAGCUUGACACUGAACAUUGAGCCUUGAUGUGUAGGAUAGGUGGGAGGCUUUGAAGCGUGGACGCCAGUCUGCGUGGAGCCGACCUUGAAAUACCACCCUUUAAUGUUUGAUGUUCUAACGUGGACCCGUAAUCCGGGUUGCGGACAGUGUCUGGUGGGUAGUUUGACUGGGGCGGUCUCCUCCUAAAGAGUAACGGAGGAGCACGAAGGUUGGCUAAUCCUGGUCGGACAUCAGGAGGUUAGUGCAAUGGCAUAAGCCAGCUUGACUGCGAGCGUGACGGCGCGAGCAGGUGCGAAAGCAGGUCAUAGUGAUCCGGUGGUUCUGAAUGGAAGGGCCAUCGCUCAACGGAUAAAAGGUACUCCGGGGAUAACAGGCUGAUACCGCCCAAGAGUUCAUAUCGACGGCGGUGUUUGGCACCUCGAUGUCGGCUCAUCACAUCCUGGGGCUGAAGUAGGUCCCAAGGGUAUGGCUGUUCGCCAUUUAAAGUGGUACGCGAGCUGGGUUUAGAACGUCGUGAGACAGUUCGGUCCCUAUCUGCCGUGGGCGCUGGAGAACUGAGGGGGGCUGCUCCUAGUACGAGAGGACCGGAGUGGACGCAUCACUGGUGUUCGGGUUGUCAUGCCAAUGGCACUGCCCGGUAGCUAAAUGCGGAAGAGAUAAGUGCUGAAAGCAUCUAAGCACGAAACUUGCCCCGAGAUGAGUUCUCCCUGAGACUU